UGUUCUUGAAAUGAGAUAUACUUUGGCCAGUAGAUUAAUCUCUACACACACUGGACGAAGUACUUCUUAUAUCAAGAACA